GGCUCCGGGCGGGGCCGCUGCGGCCGCGCUCCGCUCCAGGAGGGGGGGAAAAAAAUCCCUCAAACCCCCACUGGACACGGGGAGGCUCCCCCGGCCCCGGCGAUGCUGCGGCGGCCGCAGUUCCAGCCCCCCCGAGCCCCCCGGGACCGGCCCGGAGAGGGAUGGAGCGCGGCCCCGAGGCACCCAAAACCAGCCGGCCCUGAGGCCCAGCUGUUCAAGGAUUCACAUGACUGAAAUCCAGGAACACUUGCUCAGGGCAGCUCGGAUUUGAUUCCCCACACCAGAUGUGCCUCUAGAAAAAAAAAAGGCCUUUGUGGGAUCAUCACCCUGCCCCAGCUUUCCCAGCUUCCCACCAGCACAGACAGGCUGGAGCAGCUGUGGGAGGAUGGAUGGAGAAUCCCUGGAGUCGCUGUGCAGCUGGGGCACGGGUGGAGAGAGCCCUCAGACCCUCCUCCCCAGUGCUCUCUCUCCCCUGCAGCAGCAGAGCUUGAAAAAAAAAAAAGAUACUCCACUUAAAAAGAAAAAAUUAAUAUAUUCUGCAUAAAUUUUUAAGAGAGGGUGAAGUCAUCCUUGGUUUUUCCUGGCGCUGCAGAGAAUCCCAUUCAAGCAGACAUCAAAAUAAAAAUUCAUCAAAAUAAA